rnacentral:rRNA from 1 species
GACGAACGCUGGCGGCGUGCCUAAUACAUGCAAGUAGAACGCUGAAGGAGGAGCUUGCUUCUCUGGAUGAGUUGCGAACGGGUGAGUAACGCGUAGGUAACCUGCCUGGUAGCGGGGGAUAACUAUUGGAAACGAUAGCUAAUACCGCAUAAGAGUAGAUGUCGCAUGACAUUUGCUUAAAAGGUGCAAUUGCAUCACUACCAGAUGGACCUGCGUUGUAUUAGCUAGUUGGUGAGGUAACGGCUCACCAAGGCAACGAUACAUAGCCGACCUGAGAGGGUGAUCGGCCACACUGGGACUGAGCCACGGCCCAGACUCCUACGGGAGGCAGCAGUAGGGAAUCUUCGGCAAUGGACGGAAGUCUGACCGAGCAACGCCGCGUGAGUGAAGAAGGUUUUCGGAUCGUAAAGCUCUGUUGUAAGAGAAGAACGAGUGUGAGAGUGGAAAGUUCACACUGUGACGGUAUCUUACCAGAAAGGGACGGCUAACUACGUG